rnacentral:rRNA from 1 species
GACGAACGCUGGCGGCGUGCUUAACACAUGCAAGUCGAACGCUGAAGCUCAGCUUUUGUUGGGUGGAUGAGUGGCGAACGGGUGAGUAACACGUGAGUAACCUGCCCCCUUCUUUGGGGUAACGCCCGGAAACGGGUGCUAAUACUGGAUAUUCACUGGUCUUCGCAUGGGGGUUGGUGGAAAGGGUUUUUCUGGUGGGGGAUGGGCUCGCGGCCUAUCAACUUGUUGGUGGGGUGAUGGCCUACCAAGGCUUUGACGGGUAGCCGGCCUGAGAGGGUGACCGGUCACAUUGGGACUGAGAUACGGCCCAGACUCCUACGGGAGGCAGCAGUGGGGAAUAUUGCACAAUGGGCGCAAGCCUGAUGCAGCGACGCCGCGUGAGGGAUGGAGGCCUUCGGGUUGUGAACCUCUUUCGCUCAUGGUCAAGCCGCAACAAUGGUUGUGGUGAGGGUAGUGGGUAAAGAAGCGCCGGCUAACUACGUG